UUCGGGAGGCGGGGCCGCCGCCAUAUUGCGCGGUGCGGGAGCCGCUUCUUAUCAGCCAUGUCCCGCGGGCCGCGGGAGCUGCCGUGCCACACCGGCGGGGAGCCGGGGGAGCUGCGCAGGCAGGUGUGGUCCUUAUUGCAGAAGCCAGGUGUGAUGUUAGUAGAGCUGUGACAGUGUUUUCUUUGGUAAUCUGUUAUUGAAGAUGUCAAAGCCACCAGAACUGAGGAGGAAAAUGCAGUUCUGUGCAAUAUCCACACUGCUGGCAUCAAGAGCAGGAAUGUAGAAGCUGGAAUGAUUCAGAUUCCUUGGUGUCUGAUGAAUAUCGAUGUAGACAUUUAGACCAGUGGCUGGAGAGCUCUACAAGACCAGAAUACCCCAGGCCUCUUUCUAGUUGCCCCAGCUGGGAAGGUAGAAUUGAAGACAACAAAACAAUGAGGACAUCAAGUAAAAAAAUUACAAAGGAUUCUACUAAUACAGCAGAACGGGAAACAGAUGAAGUGGUUCUGAGGAGAAGACAGAAACAGAUCAAUUUUGGAAAGAAUACCCUUGCUUAUGACAGAUACAUUAAAGAAGUUCCAAAGAAUCAGCGAAUACCAGGAGUUCACCCCAGAACUCCCAACAAAUUUAAGAAGUACAGCCGUAGAUCCUGGGACCAGCAGAUCAGACUGUGGAAGAUAGCACUGCAUGCCUGGGAUCCUCCUGAAGAAACCUGGGAUCUGCAGCCAGUGUGUGUUAGUACAGAACCCUCAGGCAGUUCCCAGGAGUGGUUCUGCAAAGACCAAGAUGUUUCUGACUCCCUUCUAUUUGAUGAAAAGCAAAAGAGAAAUGAGCAUGAAGAUGAAUGGAAACAGGCUGACUACACACCAGAGAGUUCCUCUUCUCCCGAUUCUUCUCCAGUAUGGAAGCGCAGAAAAAGAAACAAUUCUGACUCCUCUGUGAUUUCAAAGAGAAAAAACCAUUAUGUGGAUACGUACCAUACACUGGAAAGUCUUACUGACUCAGGACAUCGGGAUGCUUUUUCACAGUGCUCGGAGUGGGAGGCCUUUGGUGAAAAUGACAAACUAAUGACAGUACAACAUGGGAUAGAAAUAACAAGGGACUCCAUUCCAGCCAGUUGUUCUUCAGGAUGGAACAAUCAGAAACAGAAAAACGACUUCUUUCUGCCUGACAGCAACACUUGCAGAGAUACAGACUUCAGGCUGGAGAGGCUUAAACUUUGUAGCAGUUUAUUGGAAGGACAUCAGUCGCAAUACCCUGAAAGGAGGUGGGGAAGUACAAAUGCUGAAGAUAGAAUAAUGACAAAAAAAAUUUGAAUACUAAGUCUCUCUUUGUAUAUAGAAGGAUCGAAGAUGGACUUUCUCCUGUGGCAGAAAAUGAUUUGAAGAAUAGGGAUGUAGUCUGAGAUCAGCAGAUGAAGUCUUGGAAAACUGGUGCAGUUGCAUAAAAUGUGCAUUGAAAGAGGAAGAGAUUUACAGUCAGCAUAUGUGCAAUCACCAUAAGGUGAAAUGUGCAGAUCUUUAAGAAUAGAUCAUUUUCUGCAAGCUCUGCUUCAAGUGUAAAACUUCAGUUUUCGUUAAGCCUGUGCUACAAUGAUGAUGGAUGUUCCAUAAAGCCUCUGAGAAUGUUUCUGCUUUACCUUCGUCGACAGAUGAUGUGCAUCAUAAUGUAAAGGCUACUUCAGUUGAUGGAUCCUGCUCUUGCCUUUUGGAGAUCGUGCUACUUAGAGUGUGCUAAUGUUAUGCUGGUGAAUUGGUCCAAUAUUGAUUCAGACUGAAGAAUGGCCACCCCUUAAACCAAGGAGUUAAACCAUGUUUUCUCUGCUGGCCUGGAAUUGUACAUGUGUCCUGAAGAACUGCUUCAAAAGAAUGUAGAUCAUUCCAGCCUUUCUGCAGUUGUUGAACUGUUAUUAGCUUUUGGAUCUGGUGAUCAUCCAUUUGGCUUAUUUACUGUUCUUGGAGAUGAGGUGUAUUAAGCUAGCAUUUGCUUAAGCCUAGUGAGAGAAGAGAAAGGAAGGGUAGAUGGUUUAUCAGAAUUGGCUCCCUGUCUUUAAAGGGGUGAACAGCUGUGUUGCUGAACAGCAACACAGCCUAAAUAGCUGGAUCUUGCUUUUCUGUAUGUUGCAGCCUGACCCAAAGAGCCAACCUACUGCUGAGAGUGUAAGAGGGUGAGUUCAGUGCCACCUUCUCUUACAGAAAUUGGAGGUGAGCAGCAGUAUUUGCAGUUUUGGAGCAGCUCUUGAGCAUGAGGUGUCCAGGCUAAGGGUUGUGAUGGUGUUGAGGUGUGCUCUCCUUUGUUUUGCUCUCCUAGCACUGUGCUCAGGACAGAGGGUGGACUGUGGGAGACAAUGGAGUUGAGACCAGAUUCAUGUGUCAGUUACAAGAAUUUCUUACAAUCCAUGUGGCAUUUUCUGUAGCAUGUACUGGGAUGCAGCUGUCUGUUAAAGCUGGGAAUUGUCUCUUUCCAGGAAUUCAGUUUGGUUCUUCCUAAGGCCACUGGAGAACUGUGGCAGCCUUUUUGGUGACACAGCACAGCCUCGCUGUGGGGCUGGCACCGUAGCCAAGGGCCAAAAGCCUGUUUUGCUGCUGAAGUGGAAGUGAACUGCUUCUCUAGAAACUUUUCCCAGUCUCUUAAAAAAUGUGUUUUCCAGGUGUGCUCAGGCAUGUGGUGUCCCAGCACAGGGGUGGCUCAGUCACACACUGCAGAGUGUGCAGUGUGUGUAUACAAGGAACUUUAUACAGCACUUUUUUAAGAAGUAACAUUUAUAACCUUGUUCCAGUGUGCAUGCUUCCAUAUAUUUAUUGUGACUGUAAAUAAAGGAGUACAUUACA